rfam:Emiliania huxleyi CCMP1516 EMIHTscaffold_67_Cont2528, whole genome shotgun sequence.
GUUGACGUGGCCGAGUGGUUAAGGCGAGGGACUGCUAAUCCCUUGGGCUAUGCCCGCGCGAGUUCGAACCUCGUCGUCAACG